AUGACUCCCUCCUUGGCUAUGUCUGACCGGACAAACGCCGAGCCCCGGAGCCACCCGUGCCGGGAGGUUUUCGGAUGGCGCUGCCCGUCCCGCAGCCGGGCCCUGUCAGGGAGCCGGGCAUGGCCCCGCCGCCUCCCCCACAGCCCCCGCACACGUCCUCGCCUUCCCCUCGGCCACAACCCGAAGGGAACCGCAGCCGACACCUCAGCGGCUCCGUGUUGGGGCUGGGGGCUCCGGGCUCCCUCCCUCCCCUGCCUCCCCGCCCCUGCCCUGCAUUGGCUGCGGGCGGCUGACGGGCAGCCGGGGAGGCCGCUGGCAGCCGGCCGCGGAGGGGCAUGCCUGCACCGGGGGGUCCGUGCCGAGCCGAGCCGAGCCGUGCCGAGCCAAAAAGGGGCAGCCAGAGCCGCUCCUGAGCGCCGAGAUGGGGGUGGAGAUCGAGACCAUCUCUCCGGGAGACGGACGGACGUUUCCAAAGAAGGGUCAGACGUGUGUGGUGCACUACACAGGCUUAGGAGAUACCACACGUUCAGCCUCCAGCUCGAGAGGAUCCCACGCUGGAGACGAGCACGGCGUAGCUCUUCAACAACGCCCCAGGCCACGUCUACAUUUCAGCACAGUAAGAGGGGUCAGGAGCAGGAGCCAUACGAGCCACAGCUUCUGAUCGCAGGCUUGCCCCGCAGGCAGUCUGCAGCCUGCCCGUUCGGGUGCGCUAAGGUGCCUGGCGGAAUAUUAAACUGCCAGACAGACUUAGACAGAGAGUCCCCCGGGCCGCGCCUGGGGCUGCACUUGUAG
rnacentral:lncRNA from 1 species